GCUUGCCACUGUUCCCACACGGCUAAGUGUCCGGGUUCGUCCUAAUCAAGCUGAACACUAGUCACUGGGUUCCACGGUUCUCUUCCAUGACCCACGGCUUCUAAUAGAGCUAUAACACUCACUGCAUGGCCCAAGAUUCCAUUCCUUGGAAUCCGUGAGGCCAAGAACCCCAGGUCAGAGAACACGAGGCUUGCCACCAUCUUGGAAGCAGCCCGCCGCCAUUUUGGAAGUGGCCCACCACCAUCUUGGGAGCUCUGGGAGCAAGGACCACCUGGUAACAAUAGGCCAAAUACUGUGCUGAUAAGGUUGAAAGCCUGCCCUGAAUCCUCAUCUAUUGAUGGAGAUGGUGUCAUCUUGCCUUGAUUGUAUCCAGAAGCUUCAUCCCCAAGAUAAAGGAUGGACAUCUCUCCGAUGACCAGCUUCUUUUGCUCGACUCUAGAGAAGGUUGCUUUCUGCAUUCUGGCAACUGCCCUCUGUCUACAUGAUUAGACUCGUUGGUUGCAGUGCUUUCUGGAGUAAUGAAGGGAUCCAGUGCACAGGGUUUAACUUACUGGGCACAAUCUCUAAGCCAACUCUGCCUGAAUGGGUCCCCUGUUUUUUCUCUUCUGCUCUUGUUGAACCAUAUCUCUGUUCCUUGUGCUCCUGGGAAUUUCUUGCUCUGGGUAAAUAAGAACAUGCUAACCAUCAUGAAAAAAAUGGAAACUCUCUCAAGGAAUAACAAUCAGAGCUGUCUGGUUGACAAGGGACAUUAUGGUUGCAAGAAGACCCUGAAGCAAGGAUUCUACAUCAAAGAUUCAGGGGCAAUCUGAGUUUGCAUUUAAGAUCCUUCUGCCUA
rnacentral:lncRNA from 10 species